GAUGAACGCUGGCGGCGUGCCUAAUACAUGCAAGUCGAGCGAACAGACGAGGAGCUUGCUCCUCUGACGUUAGCGGCGGACGGGUGAGUAACACGUGGAUAACCUACCUAUAAGACUGGGAUAACUUCGGAAAACCGGAGCUAAUACCGGAUAAUAUAUUGAACCGCAUGGUUCAAUAGUGAAAGACGGUUUUGCUGUCACUUAUAGAUGGAUCCGCGCCGCGUUAGCUAGUUGGUAAGGUAACGGCUUACCAAGGCAACGAUGCGUAGCCGACCUGAGAGGGUGAUCGGCCACACUGGAACUGAGACACGGUCCAGACUCCUACGGGAGGCAGCAGUAGGGAAUCUUCCGCAAUGGGCGAAAGCCUGACGGAGCAACGCCGCGUGAGUGAUGAAGGUCUUCGGAUCGUAAAACUCUGUUAUUAGGGAAGAACAAAUGUGUAAGUAACUAUGCACGUCUUGACGGUACCUAAUCAGAAAGCCACGGCUAACUACGUG
rnacentral:rRNA from 1 species